ensembl:lncRNA
UAGGCAGACCUUUGCCUUGUGCGAGGCUGCUGGGAGAGCGAGCCAGCGGCCUCGGACUGGUGCAAGCCGCCGAGCGCCGCUCUGGAAAGCCGCGCAGCUGGGGCAGCGCGUUUUUAUCCCGCCCCAGGCCUGUCUGUGCAACUUUCGCGUUAACCCGGGCAAAAGGGAGGAAGAUCGACGAGCGGGCUGGUGCUGGGGAGUCCUUUCUAAGUAGUAAUUAGAGCCCGGGAGGAGUGGGGGUGCAGCGGUGGGAGUUGGUGCUUAGCCUUCUGCUCUGCUUUUAACGGUAAACUCUGGAGCAGGACCCAGGGCCCGCUGCAGGGAUCUGCCGGGAGACAGAACAUCCUGCCUCCAAUUCCCAAGGCGCUGGAGGACUUGCCAGCAUCCGCGCCGCGCCUGCCUGCGAGCAGGAGUUCAAAUCUCCAACCUGCGGAAGAAUUCAGCUGCUUGAAAGGACUUAAGGCAGUGUGCGGAGGACAUCUCCUUUCUCCGCCAGUAAAGAGAGGUGACCUUCUGUUCCUAUUUAAUUUCACAUUGGUUUUUGUUUGUUUGUUUUUGUGGGGUUUUUCUUUCUUUCUUUCUUUCUUUCUUUCUUUCUUUCUUUCUUUCUUUCUUUCUUUCUUUCUUUCUUCUUCUUCUUCUUCUUCUUCUUCUUCUUCUUCUUCUUCUUCUUCUUCUGUUGCUUUUAGAAGAUUCUUCGCAGCCUGUAGGGUGAUACUCUCAAGGGAAUAAUUAAGUUUCCAGAUUUCUUUCCGAUGGAUGUGUGGCUACCUAGGUUAAGAACUCCCUCCCCCAGGGGUACCCUAGGCAUAGGACGCUAAGUGUCUGCGCCUGGCGGUGGUGGCGACGAGGAGGCAUCGCGUGAACAUCAGAACUUAUUGUGAUGGGACUCCACUGACGGUUAAUGCCAGCAGAUCCUCCCUAUUUUGUCGUUCCAGAACUGCACCCCCCCCCCCCCACCUCCCCACACCCCGCGCGCCUCCUCUGCUUGUAGCAGAUCUAGCAGCUCAGGGGCUCCAGAAACCUUGGCUCUCUAAGGUUUUAGCUCCAAAUUGGGGAAGGGGGGAGGGUGGGAGGGCUCUCUCUGGUCUCACGGUCAUUGACACGGUUCUUCUUACUGACCAAGUCAGGGAAGAGACCGCCUGUUUGCUUGCCAGUCUCUGCCUGAAAUGGUGCGUUGAAGGUGUCUUGGGUAGACUCCUUUGGCUUUUGAUUCAGCUUGUUCUUUUUCACUGUUCAAAGCAGCUGUUCAAAGACCGAGGCUGCUUACGAUGACGUGGAGAGGAUUUCAAACAACCUUAACAGGCUUUGAACUGACAAGAAGCGGUGAUAUCUGCCUCACUCUGGCACAGCUCCUCCAGUGCACUUGCUAGNNNNNNNNNNNNNNNNNNNNNNNNNNNNNNNNNNNNNNNNNNNNNNNNNNNNNNNNNNNNNNNNNNNNNNNNNNNNNNNNNNNNNNNNNNNNNNNNNNNNGAGAGAGAGAGAGAGAGAGAGAGAGAGAGAGAGAGAGAGAAACUGUGCGGGGCUUUGAAAAGCGGCAGCCUCUUGAUUCAAGAAUCCCCAAAUUAUCCCCUUAGUAGAGCAGUCCAAGCUCUGGAACUUAAACUCUGCUUGUUAACUAGCAAACACUCUCACUUCAUAAAUACAUAAAAUGUUGUUUAUGUAUUUCUUUAUGCUAGAAAUUGACCGAAGGUAUACCUAACCAUUUUUGUACACUGAACUGAAAACACUGAAACAGGAGAGAUGACAGUCAUUUGAUAGAUUUACAUUUUGCUUCGUUAUUCGUUAUGCAAUCUCAGUAAAGUAGAAAUCAGGUAACAACAGAAAACAAAAGGGAUUUUCUUAGAUGGUCAUUGGAAGAGUAAAAGUGACAACUGGCUUAAAAUUAUGUAAAGGCGAUCAUUGCUUUAAAAAAAAGGUACAUCCACCUUGGGUGGGAUUAUCCUCCUCCUCCUCCUCCUCCUCCUCCUCCUCCUCCUCCCCCUCCUCCUCCUCCCCCUCCUCCCCUCCCCUUUCUUUCUGCCCUUCUAGUGCCAGCAGCUGCUUGAUGGAGACCUCUUCUCCCCACAUCUGAAUGGAACGUCUUUGCCCAGAGUCUACAGAAUGUCAAAACUGAGGCUCCGACCUCAGAGCUACAGCUUUAAGGACCACUCCACACAAAGAGGCAGCUGGUUGCUUUAAUGAAAACUGCCUUUAAGCUUCAAGAACUGAGGCCUUGGGGAAUCCAUUUAUAAGGAGCCUAGAAAAUGCAUUUCCAAGUUGUAUGUUCUUAGGAGAUACAAAAUAAAAUUUACCUGAAAAAAUUAAUUGUAAUUAAG